rnacentral:rRNA from 1 species
UACAGAGGGUGCGAGCGUUAAUCGGAAUUACUGGGCGUAAAGCGUGCGUAGACGGUUAUGUAAGUCGGGUGUGAAAGCCCCGGGCUCAACCUGGGAACUGCAUCUGUGACUGCAUCGCUGGAGUGCGGCAGAGGGGGAUGGAAUUCCGCGUGUAGCAGUGAAAUGCGUAGAUAUGCGGAGGAACACCGAUGGCGAAGGCAAUCCCCUGGGCCUGCACUGACGCUCAUGCACGAAAGCGUGGGGAGCAAACAGG